UACUACAUAUAUAAUAAAUUAUAUAUUAUUGAAUUCUAAAAUCAACACAUUUUUCUGUCAAAAUAGU
rnacentral:tRNA from 1 species